CUCCUGCCUCAGCCUCCUGAGUUGCUGGGAUUACAGAGCUGUCAAUCAAGGUGUCUUCUCUGCCUUAUCUGGCCAAGAUACAACCAAACACCCAGACUGGGCCAAUCAGACUACUGGGAAUCUCGCUUUGGAGCAGAGCAAAGAAAAGACCCAGAAGAUGUUUGGAGCCCCUCUACUCUAACUGUGAAGCCCUGGCCAGAGAGAGAAUUCCUGUGGUGGAGAAUUGUCCUGGCUUCUGCCUUGUUCUGGGCCUUGUUCUCUGGGCUUCUUUUGAAUUCUGUGAGCCACAUACAUCCUUCCAAUACAUUCAUUUACUGCUGAUGUCAA